AGGGGGACAACGACUGGAAACGGUCGCUAAUACCCCAUAUGCCGAGAGGUGAAAUGUUUAUUCGCCUGAGGAUGAGCUCGCGUCAGAUUAGCUAGUUGGUGGGGUAACGGCCUACCAAGGCGACGAUCUGUAGCUGGUCUGAGAGGAUGAUCAGCCACACUGGGACUGAGACACGGCCCACACUCCUACGGGAGGCAGCCGUGGGGACAUUUCCGCAAUGGGCGAAAGCCUGACGGAGCAAGACCGCGUGAGGGAUGACGGCCUAAUGGUUGUAAACCUCUUUUCUCUGGGAAGAUAAUGACGGUACCAGAGGAAUAAGCCUCGGCUAACUCCGUGCCAGCAGCCGCGGUAAUACGGAGG
rnacentral:rRNA from 1 species